CACCAUAGCGUGACCAGGCACGAGGAGCGUAGUUAGCAACGGCAAGGCCGGCGAUGAUGAUCAAACAGGAUCCCGUGAAGAAGGAAAACUUCUUAUGGAAUCUGUCGUACAAUGGCAUAACAGUGACAAUGCCCAAAGCGUCGGCAAGCCAAAUAGGAGCAUUCAACAACGAGAUAUCGAUACCGGAAAAACUGGGGUUAAUCUCUUCAAUAAUCAAAGUACAAUAGUUGAAGAUACCAUUACCCACACCGACGAUACCAAAGUACAUGAGAAUAAAAGGCCAUACGCGGAGAUCCAAGCAAGACUUUAGCAAAUCAGACCAUUGCCACCGCUUACCAACAUUCAUCUCUGCAAUGUAUCUAGAAUGAAGGGAUUUGUCGGCAGGCGUGAGGAAGCCAAUUCUCUGAGGAGACAAAGUUUUCAUCCAUUUGGGUAAGGGAAUAAACGAGCUAAGCGACUUUCUAUGCUCCUUUGAAGCAACUGCCGGCAACCACCAGGGAAUGGAUAAUGCUUGGGCAAUAGCAACGACUCCCCAGAUAAGGAACAUCCACUGGUAUCCAUACAAGCCGCGAGCGCCAUCCAUCUUUUGGAAACCAGCUGAAACCAAACUGACGGCUGCUGCUGCAAUUUGAGCAGCCGUAUAAUACCAACCAAUACGUUUACCCAAGUGCUUGCCCCUAUACCAACGGCUCAUGUAGUAAGCCAAGCCGGGCCAUAAGCCGGAUUCAGCGACACCUAAGAAGAAACGUAAAGCGACAUAACUUUGCGCAUUACCAUGUUUCGUUCCCAAAACUGCAUGGCAAGCACCAACAACACCAAUGGUGAGUUGGAUACGAGACACCCAAAUUCGGGGCUCGAUAAAUGCCAUCAUCAAGUUGGAGGGCACCUCAAAAAUAAUGUAGCCAACGUAAAACAACGCCAAACCCAAGGCGAGAUAGUGAGCUGAGUAGCCAGAAAGUGUUUGAAUAAGACUGUGGCCCUGAGCCGUAUUCAUGGUAAACGAAAGUGAGACAGUAAAACGAAGACAACAAGACAAAAAGUAAAGAAUCCAAAGACAUGGAAUGAUACGAAGGUCCAUUUUCAAUCUUAAUUUCUGUAACCUUCGCAAUUCGCUACUAGUAAAUUCUUGCUCUUUUACCGUCGUUUCCGCACCAUCGUUAAAAACAUUGAGAUCAGACGAAUCGAUUACUGUCGUCGAAAAUUGAUUCUUCAAUGAGGGCUUUGAAUCUGAUACGCUUUCGACAAUUUCAGGAAUAUUAAGUUUGGGAUUCUCCUCAACUGAGGAGGCCCUCGAUGUUUCAGGCCAUUCUGAAGCCAUUAUUUUGAAAUUUUCGGGAAUGACAGAUGGAUAUCGAGACAGUGAUGGCUUUCCAAUACUUUUCUAAAUGUGGUGGAUUUUAACCAACACAACCCCGUUCACUUCAGCACGAAGAAUUGAAAAUUAGAAAAACGGCGCAUAUAUAUACUAAUGAAGGGCGUCAAUAUUGCUACCUGGCCAACUUACUUUAAUUGCAAUGAAGAUUGCGACAAAUAUUAAAAUACAAAAAAACCCGUCACUAUUCUUUAUGAAAUUUCGCAACGGCCAGGUCUCGUCAAAUCACGGUAUCUUAGAUUGUGAAAGUUAGCGAAAUGAAGGAUAAGAAAUAAAUAUCGCUUAGAUCGUGGGAAAUAUAUGGAAGCAGAGGCGUCUAAACUUUUGAAUAAACUUCGCUCAGAAAUAGAAAUAGAUCGAAUUCUAUAGUAGUAUUAAGAUUUAAUGAAGAUGUUUUUAAAACGGGUAGUCGAAACGUUGAGCGAUUGUUCAUU